rnacentral:rRNA from 1 species
AGUUUGAUCAUGGCUCAGAUUGAACGCUGGCGGCAUGCCUUACGACGUGCAAGUCGAACGGCAGCGGACCGUUCGGGUGCCGGCGAGUGGCGAACGGGUGAGUAAUGCAUCGGAACGUGCCAUUGAGUGGGGAUAACGUAGCGAAAGUUACGCUAAUACCGCAUAUUCUGUGAGCAGGAAAGCAGGGGACCGCAAGGCCUUGCGCUCUUUGAGCGGCCGAUGUCAGAUUAGCUAGUUGGUGAGGUAAAGGCUUACCAAGGCGACGAUCUGUAGCGGGUCUGAGAGGAUGAUCCGCCACACUGGAACUGAGACACGGUCCAGACUCCUACGGGAGGCAGCAGUGGGGAAUUUUGGACAAUGGGCGCAAGCCUGAUCCAGCCAUGCCGCGUGAGUGAAGAAGGCCUUCGGGUUGUAAAGCUCUUUCGGCCGGGAAGAAAUCACAUGGGUUAAUACCCUGUGUGGAUGACGGUACCGGAAUAAGAAGCACCGGCUAACUACGUG